rnacentral:rRNA from 1 species
GGAGUCUGGGCCGUGUCUCAGUCCCAAUGUGGCCGUUCACCCUCUCAGGCCGGCUACUGAUCGUCGCUUUGGUGGGCCGUUACCCCGCCUGCAACCUAAUCAGACGCAUCCCCAUCCCUUAGCGAUGAAUCUUUGCUUCACGUUAGAUGUCCGCUGUGAAGAACAUAGGGUAUUAAUCCGAUUUUCACCGGGCUAUGCCCUACUAAGGGGAAGGUUGGAUACGCGUUACUCACCCGUGCGCCGGUCGCCAUCGAAGGAAGCAAGCUUCCUCCAUGCUGCCCCUCGACUUGCAUGUGUUAAGCCUGUAGCUAGCGUUCAUC